AGCGUGGUCAUGGCUCUAAGGAGCACCUCACGCCCUCCCUGUAGCUGUUAUUGCAGUUUCAGGCAGAGAUCCAGGAGCUGCAGAGGAAGGGAGAGGCACAAUAACCUACAUGGACCCAAGGGAGACAUGUGUUCCUUUAAAAAUGUGAACAGAAGGAAAAACAGAAUGUGUGCAACUGGGGGUCUGAGGAAAGACUGUUUUGAAAGAGGCUGUCAGGGAAUGGAAAGGGUUAAGCUUUUCAUCCUGAAGAACCUGCUUCCCAAAUCAGGCCUUCCUCCCAUCACUAGACCCUGAGCAGCAGCUGGUCCUAGAGACCCCCCUCGUACUGCGCUGCCACAAUCUCACCCCAUUUCCAGCUCUGUAUUAACCACCAAGCUGCAGCGGAUGGGGCAAGACCUAAGCUCAUUAAUUUCCAGGUGGAGGAAAUGGAGGAGGGGCAGGUCCCUGCAGUAGAGGGAGGAGCAGAGAAAGGAGGCCAAGAGCUGGAUCCUUCUGCCCAGGAAGCCUGCUGCAUCCCUUCCCCCGAGCAUGGCAGAGGCCUGGCUUUGCAAGGCCAAGGCCAUAAGGGAUGCUUAGGAGAUUAAUUUGAUUCCUGACACAAUAAUCAAGGCCUAAGAGUCUCCGCUGAAGCUUACUGAGGACUUCUUUCCUCUCCAAAGCCUCAAUCUAGCCUGCUAAAUAAAUUAGUAGUAUUCAGUGAUGCCUUGGAUCAGGGCCCCUCCCCGGCCUCAGUUCCCCCAAAUAUUUAUUAAGUACCUACUAUGUGCAAUCCUUGUGUAAUUAUUACCUCUUAGGCUCUUCAUUUGCCCUCCUAAAGCAGUGUUUAGAGUCAGGCAGAGGUUAAGUGUGUUGCACCUCACCUAGAUACUUCCAGAACCUUCUCUGGGUCUGCAGAAUGUGGCACAACCUGCUUGCCCCCGCAGAGACAAAGCUGCAGUGCACAUCCUGCAGACUGCAGGUGCUGGGCUGCCUCUGGAGUCCCAGAAGGCAAGCUUGGCUGCAGGACAGAAAGGGAGAACAGCUUCUCUCACCCCUGAGCCUUCACAAGCCCUUGUCUAUUUGCCGUUGCCUUCAAAAUAUACCUCCCCUGAAACCAGUAGCUUUCUGAGUCCUGGUGUCCCCUCCGCCCUUUCUGGACAGAUUUGGGAAGAAGAAAGCAGUCAGUGCUGGGCCUUAUUGGGGUGUAAAGCGCCUUGCUCUGCCCCUUCUGCUCACUGUGAAGGCCGCUGGAUGCUUCUCUUAGGCAUGGUUUAAGCCUCCGAUUACUAAACCCCUUGCCCCACAAACGUCCACAUUGACGAGCCUCUUUUUAGUAACUGCUUCCCCGUAAUUCCUUCAGAGGUUGCUGUACCCUUCGCUGAUGUGCCCUCCUGUAAAACCUCCAGAUGCCUUCCCACGUAAUGCCCCUUUCAGAUGCUUUAAGCCUAGAGCUUAAACCACAGGUACCAUGGCUGACGCCUGCCAGGUUUCUGCUGCAAAUAAUCUAUGAUGGGAGGGGCAUAUUUUUUACUUCAUUACUUAUGUAAACUCUUGUUCCAGAAAGCUUUAAUGUGUGUGGGAGUGUUCUGGCUCUAUUAGGUCUGUGUGCAUGGGUGUGGGCAUUUGCCUGUGUCCACCGGGUGGGUCUCAUUGUGAAAUGUAUGUUUAUGUAGGGCUUUAAUGGCUGAAAAUGGCAAAGAGAUGAAUAGACCACUUGGCCCCAUGUGUAAUUGCCAGGCCCCUUCUGUGCUCAAAUGAGGUGUCCGAGUGAAGGUCAGCCCUUCCCUUCUGUAUUUGGGGCCUAUUUAUGCCACCAGUAAUUUUACAAGAAAUCUGAAUAGUUCUCCCCUUUGAGUGCAUUUAACUCUUUAGUAUCUUCUCUCUUACCUAUUUGAGCCCCUCUAGCUACAGUCUGGCUUAAAUGAAAGGGGAAUUAUAUGGUUAAGAAAAAGUAGGACACGGUUGAGGCAGUUUGCUGACUGAAUACGCGAAGAAGGACCUGAUGGGCUCAUAUGCACCACUGCCAUCACAGUCCUCAUCGUGAUGCAAGCUUAUAUGAUUCUUGAGGUAACUCUACCAGAUACUUCCAGAUUUAGAAAUGUGUCAGAGGAAAAAUUGGUGAUACUCUUCUUUCCCCUGCCAGAAACAGCCCAGAUCUCCGCUUAAGCGGAAAAGAGAUUGACCUUCUAGCAGAGGCAAAGAAUGGAGUCUUCUGGGGGCAGCUGCAAAGCGUUCUCCCUAGGACAGAUGGAGCCUCCCUUUCCUCAUCUACUCUGUGGGUGGUUUCAGGGCCCAUGAGUCAACAUGAGGAGUUGUGCUGGUGGUAUGUGUGUUGGAGGCUGGGCUGGCUGAUUCACAGUGACGAGGAUGUCAAUAACAACAAGUAUGAGA
rnacentral:lncRNA from 1 species